rnacentral:rRNA from 1 species
UACGAAGGGGGCUAGCGUUGUUCGGAAUCACUGGGCGUAAAGGGCGCGUAGGCGGCUUUGUAAGUCGGGGGUGAAAGCCUGUGGCUCAACCACAGAAUUGCCUUCGAUACUGCAUGGCUUGAGACCGGAAGAGGUAAGUGGAACUGCGAGUGUAGAGGUGAAAUUCGUAGAUAUUCGCAAGAACACCAGUGGCGAAGGCGGCUUACUGGUCCGGUUCUGACGCUGAGGCGCGAAAGCGUGGGGGAGCAAACAGG